rnacentral:rRNA from 1 species
CCCUACGGGAGGCAGCAGUGGGGAAUAUUGCACAAUGGGGGAAACCCUGAUGCAGCGACGCCGCGUGGAGGAAGAAGGUCUUCGGAUUGUAAACUCCUGUCCUUGGGGACGAUAAUGACGGUACCCAAGGAGGAAGCACCGGCUAACUACGUGCCAGCAGCCGCGGUAAAACGUAGGGUGCAAGCGUUGUCCGGAAUUACUGGGUGUAAAGGGAGCGUAGACGGCCAGACAAGUCUGAAGUGAAAAUCCAGCGCUUAACGUUGGAAGUGCUUUGGAAACUGCCGGGCUGGAGUGCAGGAGGGGCG